rnacentral:rRNA from 1 species
CCUACGGGCGGCAGCAGUCGAGAAUCAUUCACAAUGGGGGAAACCCUGAUGGGGCGACGCCGCGUGGGGGAAUGAAGGUCUUCGGAUUGUAAACCCCUGUCAUGUGGGAGCAAAUUAAAAAGAUAGUACCACAAGAGGAAGAGACGGCUAACUCUGUGCCAGCAGCCGCGGUAAUACAGAGGUCUCAAGCGUUGUUCGGAAUCACUGGGCGUAAAGCGUGCGUAGGCUGUUUCGUAAGUCGUGUGUGAAAGGCGCGGGCUCAACCCUCGGACGGCACAUGAUACUGCGAGACUAGAGUAAUGGAGUGGGAACCGGAAUUCGCGGUGUAGCAGUGAAAUGCGUAGAUAUCGAGAGGAACACUCGUGGCGAAGGCGGGUUCCUGGACAUUAACUGACGCUGAGGCACGAAGGCCAGGGGAGCGAAAAGGAUUAGAUACCCCAGUAGUC